CGGGGGCCCGCACAAGCGGUGGAGCAUGUGGUUUAAUUCGAAGCAACGCGAAGAACCUUACCAGGUCUUGACAUCCUUUGACCACUCUAGAGAUAGAGCUUCCCCUUCGGGGGCAAAGUGACAGGUGGUGCAUGGUUGUCGUCAGCUCGUGUCGUGAGAUGUUGGGUUAAGUCCCGCAACGAGCGCAACCCUUAUUGUUAGUUGCCAUCAUUCAGUUGGGCACUCUAGCAAGACUGCCGGUGACAAACCGGAGGAAGGUGGGGAUGACGUCAAAUCAUCAUGCCCCUUAUGACCUGGGCUACACACGUGCUAC
rnacentral:rRNA from 1 species